GUCCUUGUAGCUUAACAAAAGCAUAACACUGAAGAUGUUAAGAUGGUCGCCAUACGCACCCAAGGACA
rnacentral:tRNA from 1 species